ensembl:lncRNA LINC00343 long intergenic non-protein coding RNA 343
GGCAGUUAGGCUGCAGUGAAUUCUACAAAGAGGCUAUGGGAAAGAAACCUGGAAAGGUAGGGAGGUAUGGAUAUGGACAAGCUAUGCCAAGGAGCAGGGCUUUGUCAUGGAGAGUGACUAGGUGCUUUUACAUAGGAAAGUCACCUGAUAAUAUUAAAACCUGUGAAAUAUCACUCUGGUGGAAGUGUGAAUGAAUUUGAAAGGGGUGUAACACUGUUCUACUUUGUUUACUCCUCAGUACCCUUGGCUGUGUACAUUUGAGUAAAGAGAGCACUAUAAAAUCAAAAACCAAUGAAAUGGUUUCCAGAACACAGAACUAUUAAGCUUAAGAAAAGGACAGAAGGAACUGAAGAGAGAGGAACUGUUUUGGAGCAUCACACUUCCACCUCAGAAGAAAUAAGGAAGGAAGGAGGAGGGUGUUCCCACGGCUCUUCAACCAGGCCGGCUCUUCAGCCUACAUCCCCAUCUCAUCAAGUAAAAGGGAUUUUUCAACUGGACCAACCAGAUGGUUUAACAGUGCACUCCCACACCAUUCAACUACGCAAGGGAGAUACACUUAACAUAUGCAGUCGUAUAACACCUACUAACAUUUUCAAACAUUAAACCUUUAAAAAAGAGUUCUAAAGAAAUAGAAGCUUGAAGUAUCAUCUCUCAAGUAUAUAGACACUACUUCAUGGUGUGGUAAUAUAUGCAUAUAGAAGCUAGUAAACACCUCCAGGAGAUGCAAAAGGAAUUAGAACUGCCACAAGGUGCAAGCAAAACCUUGAGGUGAGAAAAUCGAAUUUGGACACCGUUGAGGAGACUAUUGCAGUCAUCCAAGCUCAAGAUGGUGGAGCUUCAUCCUUGAGAAUAACCAAUGGGGAUAGAUUUAAGAGACACUUAGAGUCUGCAGCCAACAGGGCUGAAUGAGCAGAGAGUUAUGAUUCAGAAGAUCAUCUAAAAUUGAACAGCUGCCACUACUGGCAAUAAGUCUACUGCCAUUUGGUAGAUAACCUUCUUAUCACACAGAAAAAUAUCAGUACAGACAAAUAGACCGCAAAGAAAAUGAGACCAUCAGCAAAGAAGAUAAAGAAGUUUGUACAAAGCAACUUUUUAUAAAUGGAUGGCUGUCAGGCAAAAAUAAAUUUCCUGUGGACAAGACCAAGAGCAAGGCAAGAGGAAAAUAAACAUGUUUAAACUAUUGGAGAGUCCAUAAUUUAAAUAUAAACUCUUCUGUUGAGUGGUAGUGUGCACCGAAUCAGUUCCAGGGAUGGCAAUAAAUGUUACGCUGCAUUUUAGGAAGUAUGGGAGAGGAAGCUGGGGCAAGAGGAACUAAUGCAUGAUUAAUGCUAGAUAUUUGGAAUUGCCUAGAGCAAAGGAGGUUGGGGGCUGCAGAAAACUAGAUCUUUGAAGAUUUAAUAGAUUCCUCAUUCUAUGUCAGUCAGCCCACUUAGAUUUGUCACGUGUUAGCUCUGUUUUUCUUUACAUUUAGUAUUUUUAGUAAUGGCUUUUACAUUUUUAAAAAUCAGGUUGAAUUUAAGCUAAUGGACAAUAAAACUUCAGGGUUAGAGAUACUGUUUUUAUUCAGCAACUAGAUGAGGAACUGCAAUGAAUGAGAAUUUGGAAAUUGAUGUUUUUAUAGUGACACAAGCUGCAU